rnacentral:snRNA from 1 species
GUGCUCGCUUCGGCAGCACAUAUACUAAAAAUUGGAAGGAUACAGGGAAGAUUAGCAUGGCCCCUGUGCAAGGAUGACACGCAAAUUCCUGAAGCGUUCCAUAUUUUU